CGCGUAGGCGGUUCGCUAAGUUGAAUGUGAAAACUCUGGGCUUAACCCAGAGCCUGCAUUCAAUACUGGCGGGCUAGAGUUCUGGAGGGGAUAGCGGAAUUCCUGGUGUAGCGGUGAAAUGCGUAGAUAUCAGGAGGAACACCGGUGGCGAAGGCGGCUAUCUGGACAGAGUCUGACGCUGAGGCGCGAAAGCUAGGGGAGCAAACAGGAUUAGAUACCCUGGUAGUCCUAGCCCUAAACGAUGGAUACUUGCUGUGACUGGGAUUGAAUCCAGUCGUGGCGAAGCUAACGCAUUAAGUAUCCCGCCUGGGGAGUACGGUCGCAAGGCUGAA
rnacentral:rRNA from 1 species